AUUGAACGCUGGCGGCAUGCUUUGCACAUGCAAGUCGAACGGUAACAAGCCUUCGGGUGCUGACGAGUGGCGAACGGGUGAGUAAUGCAUCGGAACGUACCCAGAGGUGGGGGAUAACGCAGCGAAAGCUGUGCUAAUACCGCAUGUGAUCUGAGGAUGAAAGCGGGGGACCGAGCAGCAAUGUUUGGCCUCGCGCCUUUGGAGCGGCCGAUGUCGGAUUAGCUAGUUGGUGGGGUAAAGGCCUACCAAGGCGACGAUCCGUAGCUGGUCUGAGAGGACGACCAGCCACACUGGGACUGAGACACGGCCCAGACUCCUACGGGAGGCAGCAGUGGGGAAUUUUGGACAAUGGGCGCAAGCCUGAUCCAGCAAUGCCGCGUGCGGGAAGAAGGCCUUCGGGUUGUAAACCGCUUUUGGCAGGAACGAAACGGUGUCCGCUAAUACCGGGCGCUAAUGACGGUACCUGCAGAAUAAGCACCGGCUAACUACGUG
rnacentral:rRNA from 1 species